GACGAACGCUGGCGGCGUGCUUAACACAUGCAAGUCGAACGGGAAGUCCCUGCUUGCAGGGUCCUCGAUUGGUGAACGGGUGAGUAACACGUGUGUGAUCUGCCCUACACUUCGGGAUAGGCCUGGGUAACUGGGACUAAUACCGGAUCGGAGCCAUUUUUAGUGUGGUUGUUGGCAAGUUUUUUCGGUGUAUGGUGAGCUUGCGGCCUAUCAGCUUGUUGGUGGGGUAAUGGGUAACGGAGGCGGCGGCGGGUAGCCGGCCUGGGGGGGUGGCCGGCAACAGUGGGACUGAGACACGGCCCAGGCCCAGACGGGAGGCAGAAGUGGGAAAUAUUGAAAAAUGGGAGCAGGCCUGAUGCAGAGACACCGCGGGGGGGAGGGCGGUCUUGGGGUUGGAGACGCCAUUCGCUAGGGACGAGGCUGUUUGUGACGGUACCUAGAGAAGAAGCACCGGCUAACUCCGUG
rnacentral:rRNA from 1 species